UUAGCAUGCCCUCCCCGGAAUUAAACCUCCCGGGUGGGGGGUGGGGCCGGGUGACGGGGGCCGGAGACCCAGGCUGCGGGCGCGCGGCGAACUUCCCAACUCCGGCGCUAGGCGCGCCGGCCCGCGGGGGGAGGGAGUCCCGUGGCGGGAUUUGGGGGGAGGAAGUCCCGUUUCGUGAGUGUUUCUUCGUUUCUUUAACAGCUACCAGAAAGCAGCCCACCCCCACCCCGUAAAAAAAAAAUAAGCGAGUGGGGAAGAGCCAGCCCCACGCCGGUCCGCCUCCUGCCCGCGGCCCGGCCUCCCGCCCGCUCGCCGCCUGGCUCGGCGCUCCUUCGCCCCGAGUUCUCCAUCCCCUGGAUCGCGGGCUCGCGGGGGCGCGGAGAAGAGGACCGAGGAAAGGAUUCUCCAGAAGCUGCUGGAUCUUUCAGGAAACGGUGGUUAACAGAGCUGGACACAGGGAUAGAGCAGAGUCCCUGCCCUCAAGAAGACUACAGCCUGGCCACGGAGACAGGUGUGCACACAGUGGAGAAGGCUUCACGGGGACUCCUGAGGAUGACAGCUGGCUGGCCUGUCCCUGAGUGGGGAUGAGACACGCUAUUGUAACUGAUGUCAGGACCAGCCAGGAGUGAGAAGUAAGGACUUAGCCCCAAUUUCCCAUGGGGAUCCGGAACCAGUGCAGCUAAUAGGAGAAGAAGGGCUGAAUGACAGAGGAACCUCUCAACAGGCGUGUGUGGAAAACCAUCUGAGCCACAGCGCGAGACAGGUGAGUGGGUUUACGUCUUAUGGACUGAAUGCCGGUCGACCUUCUGCAGAAUAGCAGCGUGGCUGCGGAGAUGGCCCCAGGGCAGGAAAACGGGGUUUCUGCAGCCAGAGUGCUCCUGGGCACGGGAACCAGGGCGACAAGGGACAGCAUGAUCCCAGGCUCUGGGCCCAAGUGCGACACAGUGUUUUCAAAGGUUUGGUAGGAUGAAUCAAGGCCAAGGUGAGGCAAUGAAUAAACCCUAUCCCCUGUUCCAGAUAGAUUUUCUUUCACUUAUUUUGUUUUUCAUUCAGGUAUUUGCUGGUUUAUUUAUUUUUAGGGACGUCCAAGAUUUCCAGCAGAGUUGAUUCGAACCUUGAAGGGUAAUGAGUUCUCUUCUAAAGAAAGGUCCUACAUUUCUAAGGUGGGGGCUUUCCAACUUCUUAGAAUUUGACCUACACUCUCACUCUUUUUUUAAAUGCGGCCCACUCUUAAAAAAAUACAUUUUAUAUCAGGAUCUAGUACACACGAACAUACUGAAACGAGAGUUUCAAAAAACAAAAGUUUCCCAUGAUAUGGGUGAUACAUUCUUAACACGGUGCUUCUCCCAGCGUGGUCUCAAACCAGCAGCAUCAGCACCAUCUGGGAACUUACUGGAGAUGCAGAUUCUCGGGCCCUGCCCCAGAUAUGCUCUAUCAGAAGUUCUUGGG